rnacentral:rRNA from 1 species
GGAAUAUUGGUCAAUGGAUGCAAGUCUGAACCAGCCAUGCCGCGUGCAGGAAGAAGGCCUUCUGGGUUGUAAACUGCUUUUGCCAGGGGAUAACAUGACCUUGCGAGGUUAAUUGAAGGUACCUGGUGAAUAAGCCACGGCUAACUACGUGCCAGCAGCCGCGGUAAUACGUAGGUGGCGAGCGUUGUCCGGAUUUAUUGGGUUUAAAGGGUGCGUAGGCGGCCCUCUAAGUCAGUGCUGAAAUAUCCCGGCUUAACCGGGAGGGUGGCAUUGAUACUGGAGGGCUUGAAUGAAGUUGAAGUGGGCGGAAUUGACGGUGUAGCGGUGAAAUGCUUAGAUAUCGUCAAGAACACCGAUAGUGAAGACAGCUCACUAAGCUUCUAUUGACGCUGAGGCACGAAAGUGUGGGGAUCAAAC